GGUGACAGGCCCGUGCGACCGAUUGCCGCGUUCGCGGACGAGUCCUCCUUCGAGUCGGGUUGUUCGCUAAUGCAGCCCCAAGCAGGUGGUAAGCUCCAUCUAAAGCUAAAUAUAACCACGAGCCCGAUAGUCCACAAGUACAGUGAUGGAAAGUUGAAAAGUACUCUGAAGAGAGAGUCAAAUAGCCCGUGAAGCUGCCAGUAUGGGAUUAAGCGCACGUAUGACGCGUGUCGUCGGCCAAAUAGGCGACUGUCGGGUGUGCACACUGUGUGUGUUAGUGUGCCUUGUUUGCAUGCUUGCGCGCGGUGUAUCGCGUGCCUCGGCAGAACGCUUCCCUUUGGUCGGCAUUGACAGGUCGUGGCUUCGUUGCCCAUGGUCUUAUUGCCGGCUGGUGAUUCACAGAGCCGGGUCGAGCGACGGCGCCGCCUCACGGUGGUGUUGUUGUGCUCCGUCGAAUGUGCACUCUCGCAGUGGCGACGGUCGGCUUGGUCUGUGAUGCAAUAUGCCUGCCGAUGGCGAACGACCGGGCGACGGCUAGCGCAAAUUGGAGACGUCUCUGACGUCUCUGCUCGGCCUUUGCGUCGUUAUGUGCGGCCCGUCUUGAAACACGGACCAAGGAGUCUAACAUGUGAGCGAGCGAUUGAGAUUGUCUAAUCUCAAACGCGCAAUGAAAGUAAAGUGUCGUCUAACGGCACGAGCGGAGAUCCGCCGUCACUUGUGGCGUGCGGCGCAUCCGCGGGCCGCGCCAUCGGCUGGCUUGCUCUCUGUUUGCGCAGAUUGCACUNCUGAGGCGCGGACCUAGAGCCCACACGUUGGGACCCGAAA
rnacentral:rRNA from 1 species